rnacentral:rRNA from 1 species
GACGAACGCUGGCGGCGUGCUUAACACAUGCAAGUCGAACGGUAAGGCCCUUCGGGGUACACGAGUGGCGAACGGGUGAGUAACACGCGGGUGAUCUGCCCUGCACUUCGGGAUAAGCCUGGGAAACUGGGUCUAAUACCGGAUAGGACCACUGCCUGCAUGGGCGGUGGUGGAAAGCUUUUGCGGUGUGGGAUGGGCCCGCGGCCUAUCAGCUUGUUGGUGGGGUGAUGGCCUACCAAGGCGACGACGGGUAGCCGGCCUGAGAGGGUGACCGGCCACACUGGGACUGAGAUACGGCCCAGACUCCUACGGGAGGCAGCAGUGGGGAAUAUUGCACAAUGGGCGCAAGCCUGAUGCAGCGACGCCGCGAGAGGGAUGACGGCCUUCGGGUUGUAAACCUCUUUCAGCACCGACGAAGCGCAAGUGACGGUAGGUGCAGAAGAAGGACCGGCCAACUACGUGCCAGCAGCCGCGGUAA